rnacentral:rRNA from 1 species
AAAUUGAAGAGUUUGAUCAUGGCUCAGAUUGAACGCUGGCGGCAGGCCUAACACAUGCAAGUCGAGCGGUAGCACAGAGAGCUUGCUCUCGGGUGACGAGCGGCGGACGGGUGAGUAAUGUCUGGGAAACUGCCUGAUGGAGGGGGAUAACUACUGGAAACGGUAGCUAAUACCGCAUAACGUCGCAAGACCAAAGUGGGGGACCUUCGGGCCUCAUGCCAUCAGAUGUGCCCAGAUGGGAUUAGCUAGUAGGUGGGGUAACGGCUCACCUAGGCGACGAUCCCUAGCUGGUCUGAGAGGAUGACCAGCCACACUGGAACUGAGACACGGUCCAGACUCCUACGGGAGGCAGCAGUGGGGAAUAUUGCACAAUGGGCGCAAGCCUGAUGCAGCCAUGCCGCGUGUGUGAAGAAGGCCUUCGGGUUGUAAAGCACUUUCAGCGGGGAGGAAGGCC